rnacentral:lncRNA from 1 species
GGUCACCAAUUCCAACCAUUGAACUUCUACCUCCUGGACUAGCAAGCUGUGUAGUGUUCAUUAAGUGCAUAGAUGGAGCAAAGGCAACUGUUUGCUGCUUUGGAAAGAGUGGCCGUGCCUGGGGUUGCUGCUGCUGCUGUGGUGGUUGUUGUUGCUGCUGCUGCUGCUGUUGAGGUUGUGAGGAUUUGGUUCCAGUCAUGUUCUGUGGUAACCUUGGAGGCUGACU